rnacentral:tRNA from 1 species
GCCGAGGUAGCUCAGUCGGUAGAGCGCCAGACUGAAAAUCUGGGCGUGGGCGGUUCGAUUCCGUCCCUCGGCACCA